UCAACUUGAGAGUUUGAUCCUGGCUCAGAACGAACGCUGGCGGCAGGCUUAACACAUGCAAGUCGAACGCAUCGCAAGAUGAGUGGCAGACGGGUGAGUAACGCGUGGGAACAUACCCUUUUCUACGGAAUAGCUCUGGGAAACUGGAAUUAAUACCGUAUACGCCCUACGGGGGAAAGAUUUAUCGGGGAAGGAUUGGCCCGCGUUGGAUUAGCUAGUUGGUGGGGUAAAGGCCUACCAAGGCGACGAUCCAUAGCUGGUCUGAGAGGAUGAUCAGCCACAUUGGGACUGAGACACGGCCCAAACUCCUACGGGAGGCAGCAGUGGGGAAUAUUGGACAAUGGGCGCAAGCCUGAUCCAGCCA
rnacentral:rRNA from 2 species